GCUCGGGGAGUUCUGACAGAGGCUGCCAAGCGCGGGUCUGCGGGGGGAAGUGACUGGCUGUUUCCACUGUCGGCCGCUCCCUGCAGCUAUAUAUUGAAGACAAUGUCUGGAAGCUUCUACUUUGUAAUUCUGGGCCACCAUGAUAAUCCAGUUUUUGAAAUGGAAUUUUGCCAGCUGGGAAAGCAGAAUCCAAAGAUGAUCAUCGUCGUCUGAACCAGUUCAUAGCUCAUGCCGCUCUUGACCUCGUAGAUGAGAACAUGUGGCUGUCCAACAACAUGUACUUGAAAACUGUGGACAAGUUCAAUGAGUGGUUUGUUUCAGCAUUUGUUACUGCAGGUCAUAUCCUUAUCUUUUAAAUAAAGAUCUCUAACUAAAAGUUGGGGUAACAGACUAGAACAACAUGGGACAUACAUGCCAGACUGAGUCUGUGGACUUCAAUGUGUCAGGUAAAAACUGCCAUUUACGAGGCUACUUUUAUUUUUUUUUAGGGGAAGAAUUUUUGUUUAUCUUGCUUAACAGAUAAUUUUGUUUAACAGAUACUUUUAGAACCAAGUCUCAAAUAAAACUAAGUUUAAUCUGAACCAUUAGAUUGAUUUUACUUUAUUUUGUAGUAACUCUCUAACUUUAGAAUGAUUAUGUCAUCUUUAAGAUAAAAGUUACCUAACUUCAAACCCAGUUUAUGUAUGCAGCUUUUCCAUCACAAAAUAUAAUGCAUGUGACUCAUUUGAAGGAUAUCGUAUCACCUACUUUUCAUUUUUGAUUUCUAUUAAGAUUAUACCUUAAUUCUUUCACAUAUGAGAUUUAUUAUGCUUCAUGACAUAAGCCUGGGUGGCUCAGUUGGUUAAGCGACUGCCUUCGGCUCAGGUCAUGAUCCUGGAGUCCCGGGAUCGAGUCCCAUAUCGGGCUCCCUGCUCAGCAGGGAGUCUGCUUCUCCCUCUGACC